UACGUAGGUGGCAAGCGUUGUCCGGAAUUAUUGGGCGUAAAGCGCGCGCAGGCGGCCUUUUAAGUCUGAUGUGAAAGCCCACGGCUCAACCGUGGAGGGUCAUUGGAAACUGGGGGACUUGAGUGCAGAAGAGGAAAGCGGAAUUCCACGUGUAGCGGUGAAAUGCGUAGAGAUGUGGAGGAACACCAGUGGCGAAGGCGGCUUUCUGGUCUGUAACUGGCGCUGAGGCGCGAAAGCGUGGGGAGCAAACAGG
rnacentral:rRNA from 1 species